CCAAUAGCGUAUAUUAAAGUUGUUGCAGUUAAAAAGCUCGUAGUUGAGUUUCGGGAUCAAUUUAUCGGUCGUGCCAACGGUAUGAACUGGUACAAUUGGUUUCUCCCUUCUGAUGAAGCACGAUGUCAUUAACUUGGUGUCAUGGGGAAUCAGGACUGUUACUUUGAAAAAAUUAGAGUGUUUAAAGCAGGCUUUAGGCUUGAAUACAUUAGCAUGGAAUAAUGAAAUAGGACGUUUGAUCCUAUUUCGUUGGUUUCUAGGAUCGACGUAAUGAUUAAUAGGGAUAGUUGGGGGCAUUAGCAUUCAAUUGUCAGAGGUGAAAUUCUUGGAUUUAUUGAAGACUAACUACUGCGAAAGCAUUUGCCAAGGAUGUUUUCAUUAAUCAAGAACGAAAGUUAGGGGAUCGAAGACGAUCAGAUACCGUCGUAGUCUUAACCAUAAACUAUGCCGACUAGGGAUCGGAUGAUGUUUUUUUUAAUGACUCAUUCGGCGCCUUACGG
rnacentral:rRNA from 1 species